GAUGAACGCUAGCGGCAGGCCUAACACAUGCAAGUCGAGGGAGGAGCUUUCGGGCUUCGACCGGCGUACGGGUGCGUAACGCGUAUACAAUCUGCCUUUCACAUAGGGAUAGCCCGAAGAAAUUUGGAUUAAUACCUAAUGGUAUAUAGAGGUGGUAUCACCUUUAUAUUAAAGCUGAGGCGGUGAAAGAUGAGUAUGCGUUCUAUUAGCUAGUUGGAGAGGUAACGGCUCCCCAAGGCGACGAUAGAUAGGGGUUCUGAGAGGGAUAUCCCCCACACUGGUACUGAGAUACGGACCAGACUCCUACGGGAGGCAGCAGUGAGGAAUAUUGGACAAUGGUCGGAAGACUGAUCCAGCCAUGCCGCGUGCAGGAAGACGGCCUUAUGGGUUGUAAACUGCUUUUGCAGGGGAAGAAUAAGGACUACGCGUAGUUUGAUGACGGUACUCUGCGAAUAAGCAUCGGCUAACUCCGUG
rnacentral:rRNA from 1 species